rnacentral:rRNA from 1 species
GAUGAACGCUAGCUACAGGCUUAACACAUGCAAGUCGCGGGGCAGCAUGGGGGUUGCUUGCAAUCCCCGAUGGCGACCGGCGCACGGGUGAGUAACGCGUAUCCAACCUGCCCUUCACCACGGGAUAACCCGGCGAAAGUCGGACUAAUACCGUAUGUUGUCCAUUGACGGCAUCCGAUUUGGACGAAAGGUUUGGCGGUGAAGGAUGGGGAUGCGUCCGAUUAGCUGGACGGCGGGGUGACGGCCCACCGUGGCGACGAUCGGUAGGGGUUCUGAGAGGAGGGUCCCCCACACUGGAACUGAGACACGGUCCAGACUCCUACGGGAGGCAGCAGUGAGGAAUAUUGGUCAAUGGGCGUAAGCCUGAACCAGCCAAGUAGCGUGCAGGAUGACGGCCCUAUGGGUUGUAAACUGCUUUUAUGCGGGGAUAAAGUGGCCCACGUGUGGGUUUUUGCAGGUACCGCAUGAAUAAGGACCGGCUAAUUCCGUG